AGCAUGAGUUAUUUUACUAUAUAAAGUGAUAAAACAACUUUUUUCGGUAUAUGCAAAGUUGAAAAAAAGGCUAAAAUUAUAAUGUUUGUUUACAACAUGAUCCUUUUUGUUUCCCUAUUUCUUGUUGUAGUCGACGGUGAAAAAGAGUGUGCGUGUGUUGCCGAUUGUAUAUACAAAUAUCCCACACUACGCGAUCUAGUUGUGAAAUGCAUCGAAGGUUAUUGUAAGGCCAUACUCUAUAGGAAAGGAUGGGUAGGCGGUGUGCAGGAUUAGUCGCUUUGCUUUGCUUGUGAGUGUGCCGGAGGCUAGCUUGGAGCUACCUCGUCUUUUUCUUUUGGAGUCUUAGUGUGUCGAGCUCUGAUUAGAUGUUUGUCUGUCAUUGUUUAUAUUUUAUGACUUUAUGAGAUUUAUUCACUCAGUAUGCUGAGAUUGAAGAUUUUUUUUGGUGAUGUAUUAUGGUAUAUGUGACAUGACAACUUGGAGAUUUUAUUUAAUUGUUGAUGAGAUAUUAUGAUAUUAUUCCGUUGCGA